UGCGUCCUGGUCGAAUGGAUGUCCACAUUCACCUGUCCUACUGCACAGCAAGUGGGUUCAGGAUCUUGGCCUCUAACUACCUUGGCAUUGCCGUUGACAACCGUCACCGCCUCUGCGGAGAAAUUGAAGGAUUGAUAGCGAGCACAGAGGUGACCCCUGCAGAGGUUGCCGAGGAACUCAUGAAGAGUGAUGACACUGAUUUUGCUCUUCAAGGACUUGUCAAUUUGCUCAAGUGGAAGAAUGCCGCGGCAGAGAGAGAAAUUUGCCAAUCAAGAAGCCACGGCUCAGGAAACAAAGAAACUUGCCAAUCAAGAAGCCACGGCGCAGGAAACAAAGAUAAUUGCCAAUCAAGAAGCAACGGGGCAGGAAAUGGAUAACAAAGUUGCUGGGGUUCCAUCUACCCGAACUACACAUUCUGAUGCAUGAUGAUGGCCUCCCAUCUCCUAGUUUAUGCUUCAAAAUCAGAUAAAAACCCUCCUAGUUUAUGUUUUAAAAUUAGAUAAACCCCUCUUUUAGAUCAACUUAGCUUUCAAGCUCUCUCUUAUGAUAUCUUAUCUGAUGUAACCUACUUGCUGAACUUGAUUUUAUGAACUCUAUGAAUGAAAACAAUGGAAAGUUAUAUCUACGUCACAUAGAAAAAGAAAAAUUACUAUACAUUAAUUUAUGUUGGUUCUUAGGCCUAGCUAGCAAGCAAUCCGGGUCAAAAUUCACAGCAAGAAUGAGCUCCAUUAAAGUUUGAGAAAGCCAAAUCCAGGAAAUGUCCAAGACUGGGCCAGACGCAGAUGAACUUAAUUACUAAAAACCAAAUUACCAAUUCUUCUUCUAGCAACAAAACGAGUACAUAUAACUGCUCUCUGAAACAGAUAGAUUCUUGCAAAAUAAAACAAACGAAUUGAAUGAACAUACACUUCACCAAAAAUGACUCUUAAGGCAUGCAUACAUUGUGCACUGUAAAAAAUCGUUUUUUAUGGCGCGCAUUCAACGCAAGCCGUGAAGAGUGGCGAUGCUGAUGUUGCUCUUCAAGGACUCGUCAAUUUUCUCAAACGUAAGAAUGUUGAGAGCAACAAAGUGGAGGAUGAAUUCAAUGAAGGGACUGAGAAAGCAAAGAGGCAGAAAAUUGAGAGAAUAUAUCUAUGUCAAAGACUACUCUCAACUAGGACCUAACAAGGCCAGUCAUCUCUCAUCACAAACUUUUCAUAAAUUUUCUUAAUCUAAUUUUUAGUCAACAUUUAACUCAACCUUCAAUUCAAUCCUUGAUUUAUUUUAGGUUUUUUAUGAUUUAAUAAUCAAAAAUAUGUUGCAAGGCAAUUGACAUGGUGUUAUAUAUAUAUAUAUAAAACAAAUUGGGUAUUGCAGUUGACACUCUCUGGCCUACUCAACUUCAUAGAUGGAUUGUGGUCAAGCUGUGGCGAUGAGAGAAUCAUUGUGUUCACUACAAACCACAAGGACCGGCUCGACCCUGCAUUGCUGCGUUCUGGUUGAAUGGACGUCCACAUUCACCUCUCAUAUUGCACCACAAGUGGGUUCAGGAUCUUGGCCACUAACUACCUUGGCAUCCACGGUGGCGGCAACAACCCCCAUCUGCUUUGCGGCCACAUUGAAGGGUUGAUAGAGAGCGCAGAGGUGACCCCUGCAGAGGUUCCGAGGAGCUCAUGAAGAGUGAUGAUGCUGAUGGUGCUCUUCAAGGACUUGUUAAUUUUCUGAAACGUAAGAAGGUCGAGAGUAACAAAACGAGGAUGAAAUUGAAGAGUCGACUGAGAAAGCAAAGAGGCAGAAAACUGAUGAGGGUGAAGAAACAGAGUAAAUUGCUGGACUUGGGUUUCUGAUCAACUCAAACAAUGAAAAUAUAGGGAGACUAGAUGAGUAGAGUUUGAAUUGCCGUCCACUUCUCUGUAGCUCUUUUGUUUUGUUUGAGUUUUUAUUUUAUUUAAUAAAUUAGGUACUUACUUUUGAAUAUCUUGUUCGAAAUAUAUUUUUUACUCUUCAUAUUAGUACUACACCCCCAUUUACAUUUUUACCUAUCUAAUAUACUUUUUUGGGAAUAAAAAUAAUUUGUAUUAGAUAGAUAUUAUCAUUGUUUGUUUAGCUAUAAUAUUAUUAUAUGUAUUAGGUUAUUUAUGUAUAUUGGUGUGUGUCCAUUAAUUUAUUUUUCGUUGAAACGUUUUUUUUAUGCUCAAAUCUUGGAGCACCGCCAUUAAGUAUUUAAGCCCAAAAAGAACAGGUUCAAAAAAUAAGUGCCCAAGAAUAGGUUCUAAAAUUCAAAGCAAUUAAAUAUAAAUGUUAAAAAUAAGGGAUUUGCCAAGUAAAAUAGAUGGUAAGUAUGAUGAGGGUAAGUAUGAACCAACACAGAGAAACUUAUUGUUGGACUUGGGUUCUGAACAACUCAGGUUUUAAAGGGUUUCUUUAAAAUGAGCUUCAGAUACCCAAGUAACUAAACCAGUUAGCUUUUGUCUACGCUUUUAUAUUUGGACAUAUCUUUGCGUGUUAUUUUGGUAUCCAGUUCGAAUUUGGACUUAGUAAUCCAUCUGUUGCUUAUAUGUUUUAGUUCAUUUUAACUUAGUUUAUAGCUGCUUUGUUUUUUUCCGGUUGUUGAUUAUUUUUUAGGACAAGCGAUAGUCUAAAUUUACACACACAAAUAAGAUGUUAUAGAAAUUCGAAUAUGAUACUUCUAAUUUGCAAAUCAAAACAAUUUUUUAUUAAAAUAGACUCCAUUAGCUUUUUAUAUAUAGUACGUCUUCGUGGGGUUUGAAUUAUUUGGAGAAAUUUAUAUACAUCAUGCUUUGCCGAGUCAAUAACGUUGGAUGCUUGCUUGUGAUUGGUCAAAUUAACAAUAUUGCUGUCUAAAGUAAAUGAUUGAAAGCAUCAAAUCCAUCAAAUCAACACAUGGAUGGUGUGCAUGCAGUAGGCUUCUUCCUCGCUCUUGCUAUGCAAUUGUGACCGACUGUGGUUGCACUUGCUACAUGAACUUCCUUCCCGAGUAAGUAUCAAACCCCCAAUUUACAUAUAUUUUAGCAAAAAGUUGAAAGCUUGCUCUCCCUCUCUGUGAAAACAGAGAGAAACUACUAGGAAAUCAAGCAUGCAUGGUCAAUAAAAAAUAGUUUAUUGCCACUGCACUACAUAUAUCAUAUUGAAUAAUAGUUUUCUGCUUACGCUAGUGAAAAAAACAGGACAACACAUACCACGCGUGCUUUGCCCACAAAAAAAAAAAAAAAAGCAUUAGUGUUGUCUCAUCAACUUUGGCACUUAUAAAAAAGUCGGUGUGUAUUUACUUUUCAACAGGCCAUUAGCUUUUGUAAAAAGCUCUUUUUUUGGUCAAAUUGUAUAAAGCAUCAUGGAGAAAAAUGGAUACAACAGGCCAUUAGCAUUAUGGCUUGUUGUAUCCAUUUUUCUUCAUGAUGCUUUAUACAAUUUGGCUUAAAAAAAGAGCUUUUUAUAAAAGCAAAAAAGAACAAUUUGGCCUAAAAAAAGAGCUUUCUAUAAAAGCAAAAAAGAAAUAUUUGUAUAUGGCAAGAAAAAUUAUCAAUUAUUGGGACCAUACUUGUUACAAUAAGCAUUAUAACUUUAUAACAACAUUAAUAUAGACGAACGAAAAUGAUGAAAUAUCUACUUAUAUUAUAAUACAUAUCAUAUAUAACCAUACUCGGUAUUUAGGUAACUUUAUUUUUUUUUGUAAGUGCCGAAGGGAAGGGAAUAUUUGACUAGGACGCUACAGAUAAGACUAGUGAUGGAAAAGAAAUAUCAUAUCCUACUCAGAUUGCUAAGAGAAAGAGGAGGGACUUGGUCAACAAAACGACAACAAGAAACUCCUAAGCAGCUUCUCAAGCACCAACCCAACCCAACUAUUAUAUAUAUAUAUAUAUAUAUACAGUCCCCUUCUAUUGAGGGAUUCCUCAAAUAAAAUUAUUUGAGGGACGCCCUUUAGGGUACCCUACAAUUUUUUUCCCAAUGAUCCAAACCAUCUAUUUUUUAGAUCUUCAUUCAUAAAUCAUCCUAACAAAAAAUUAGACAAAUCGGAAACCGUUUCGACAUCCAAUUGUGUCUUACAAAAUCAAUGAACACGGUACUUUAAGAAAAUGGUAAAAUUUCAAUAACUUAAUUGAGUGGUCAAAUGAUAUCGGAUUCAAGUGAUUUUUUGUAGGGAUGAUCUUUGAAUGAGUAUCUACAAAAUAGAUGGUUUGGAUUAGUGAAAUACAAUCCGGAGUGGGGCCUACAAGGGGUGUCCCUCAAAUAAGCUUAUUUGAGGGAUCCCUCAAUGGAAGCUCUCUGUAUAUAUAUAUAUAUAUAUAUAUAAUAUACAUAGAACUUUUAUUGAGCGAUAUCUCAAACUAACUUAUUUAAGAAACACUUUUGUAGGAUCUAUUUCGUAAUGUAUUUCAUUAAUUUUAACAGUCUAUUUUGUGGAUACUCAUUCAAGAAUCAUCUUUAUAAAAAAUCACUUGAAUCUGAUAUCAUUUUACCACUCAAUUGAAUUAUUGAAAUUUUAGUAUUUUCUUACAGCCUCUUUGUAGGACAUAAUUGGAUAUCAAAACGGUUUUUGAUUUAUCUAAUUUUUUUUUUUAUAAAGAUUAUUUAUAAAUGUAAACUUGAAAAAUAAAUUAUUUGAAUUGUUGAAAAUAAAUUCACAAUGGACACUAAAGGGUGUUCCUUAAAUAACAUUAUUUGAGGAAGAAAGUGACUAUAUAUAUAUAUAUAUAUCCUCUCCUUGUUCUCUCAACCUUUACUGCCUUCCUUCCUUUCCCUUGCUUGCAGCAUAUCCAUCCAUAAUGAUUUUCAUCGUGGAACAACUCAUGCUCUUCAUUUCUACUGCCCUCGGUUACCUUUCUACACUUUUAUCCCCUCAUCCUCGCCAAUGCCAUGACCUUACUCUCAUCAUCCACCAGACCAACGCCCCACCCAACCAAGUCUACGAAGCGGCCCAACUCUACCUCCCCACCAUUGACUUGAUCAAUCCCUCCACCAGAACCAUCCAAGUCAGCAAAACGCCUCGCCAAGAAACCGUCAAGCUUGCCAUCGACAGCGGUGAGCAGAUCGUCGACACCUUUGAGGACAUUAACCUCAAAUGGCUCUACGUGGUCCAAACAUUCCCGACCGGCCAGGUAACACGUCGCUUCGAGCUAACCUUCCACAAGAAACACAAAGACAAAGUCCUGACCUCCUACUUGCGCCAUGUGGUCACUCGGGCUGAAGCCAUUAAAAAAGAGGAAAAGAUUCUCAAACUUCGUAGCGUUAACUCACCAUCACGAGUGGAUCUGGAGCACCCAGCCACGUUCGAGACGAUCGCCAUGGAGCCCGACCAGAAGACAAAGAUUAUCAAGGACUUGGACAGAUUUGUGAGAAGGAGGGAGUUUUAUAAGAAGGUGGGGAAGGCCUGGAAAAGAGGCUACUUGUUGUAUGGCCCUCCUGGCACUGGCAAGUCGAGCUUGAUUGCAGCCAUGGCUAAUCAUCUCAAGUUUGACGUGUAUGAAUUGGAGCUCGACGGUAUUUGCAGUGACUCUCAGUUGAAGAGAGUGUUGCUAUCCACUAAAAAUCGUUCUAUUUUGGUGAUUGAGGAUAUUGAUUGCACCGUCCGUGACAUGCAAGACCGGAAAUCGGAGCAGCCCACGGUUAGUACAUACUCUUUUUUUAUAUGUAGAUUUUUUUGGGGCAUUCACAUAGUGUUCUGUUGAUAUUUGCAGUUCACACUCUCAGGCCUGCUAAACUUCAUGGAUGGUCUGUGGUCAAGCUGCGGUGACGAGAGAAUUAUUGUGUUCACAACAAAUCACAAGGAUCGGCUUGAGCCUGCACUGUUGCGUCCUGGUCGAAUGGACGUCCACAUUCACAUGUCGUAUUGCACUCCACAUGCGUUUAGGGUCUUGGCCUCCAACUACCUUGGCAUUCAAGACUUGAAUCAUCAUGGCCUUUACGGAGAAAUCACAGGCUUGCUAGAGAGCACAGAGGUCACCCCUGCUGAGGUCUGUGAGCAACUGUUGAAGAGAGAUGAUGAUGUUGACGACGAUGAUGCUGAUGCUGCUCUUGCUGGACUUGUCAACUUUCUCAAACUCAAGAAGCUUGAAGAGACUAAUAAUAUUGAUAAACCAGAAACUCAAGAAGGAUCUCAAUGUUAAUGAUGAUGACGGUGACAACUCCUCCACCUAGCAUGAGCUAGGGCAGUAGAAUAAGUUGGUGUCAUUUGUCCCAUCUGAUUAUGAAGUAAUGUAUGGUUAUAUUCAGACUCUUCCCUUUUUUUUCUUUCUUAAUUAUAGCGUACCUACCAAAGUAGAGAAAUUAUGUGGAAAAAGACCUGCAAACAGAGACCUUGACUUUUGGUCAACAAGGAAGGCAAAGAGAAGCGACCACCAGCAUUUGAUGGAAAUUUCUGUUCUUAUACGACUUCUAACAAGUCUCGUUGACUUAGGGUCCCUUUUUGGGGUUGACACGUAAUUGUGACCAUAAGGAAAAUUCUACCAUGUUGCAUUUUCUGAAACGAAAUCCAUACCAAAUGAUCUUUCUGAACCUCUUAACUAUACCUCUGCAGAAGUCUUGGCAAUCUUGCUCUGAUCAAACAUGAUCCAAUGGUGUGCAGAGAAAAUUACAAAAGUGACAAACGUAAUAAGUUUCACUUCCCCCUGGCUCAAUUCUACUUUUUUCUUACAUCCUUAAUCAACCAAUGCAAAUAUAUUCCAUUCCUUAUCAGUUGUCCCAUUAAUAUAUUUAUGAAAUACCAUAUCAGUUUGCAAACAUUUUUAGAUUUGGUUGAGCUUGAGACAUGGUUGUUCAAGGGAAUAAGGGGAUUGAGAAUUGUUGAUUUUCAAGUAGGAGUUGGAGACGGUGUUGUUCAACCUCACAACUUAAUAAGCAUAUAUACUUCCACAAUCAACGCCACCUCACUCGAUCAACACUUGAUUUCGUUGAAUUAAACUAAUUUCUCUUGUAUUAAGAUACCAAGUUGACAACUCCUAAAUUAUCUUCUAAGUUUAUUGCCCUGCUAGCACUUGGUAUCGAUUCGAAGUUGCUAGGCUAGUUUAUUUUCCUAAAAUCGGUUCAUCAGUCUGUCAAUUCCUCACUUACUUUCUAUGUAAGUUAUUGUUUAUAAUUAAUUGAAUCGAGAAAUCUUCUGUUUAUUUGUGAAUUUUUAUUUUUAGAAAAAUUCCAUGUAUGAGGUUAAGUGCAUCUCUUAAUUAGAACAUCUAUAGUGGGGUGAUGUAUAAUAGGAUGUAUGUUAAAUAUACACCCGUUAUGAUCGGAAUUACUCGUAAUAAGGGUGUAAAUAAAUGUAUAAUUACAUCACCACCAUGAGAUGUAAAUUUAGAUGCAAUUGUACAUAUUUUUUUACAUUCCCAUUGCGGAUGGAACCCAACUGAAAAAAAAAGAGGAAAAAUAGAGAAAAGUCAGAAUAAAAAGGUGGGACCCAGCUAACAACAAUGGUGCAUGCAACGGUAUGGCUCGAUUUUGUCCUCAUCCCAUUUCUUCCUUUUUUUAAUUCAACUUGUUUCCACGGUCUCUCCCAUCUCUCUACUUUUGAUAUUUAUUUAUAAUUUCAUAUAUAUAUAUAUAUAUAUAAUUAAAUUAAUAAUUUACUUACUUUCCAACCUUAAGACGGAGACUCGGUAUAGAGAAAUUAUUGUAUGAUAUCGUAUCAUCACUUCAAUUGAUGAUACUUCCGUUUAUCUUUCAUAGAAGAUUAUAACCUUUUUUUUAAAGCAUAAUUAAAAACAUCAAUUUCACCUUUUUGAAUAAACUUUUUUAAAAAGCUUUAAUUGUUUUAGAAAAUGACAUAUUGCACAUUUUUAGAUUAAAUGUACUUUACAAUCCAACGAUUCUUUUUUAAUGAAAUUAUAUUUUCUCCAAAUUCAAAUAUUUUUAGGUCUAUUUGUUUGAAAAAAUAAAAUUAACCUAAUACAAAAAAAAAAUUAAUUUUAUAAAGUAAACACAAAAUAUAAAUUUAACACAAAAACAAAUUAAGACAAACAAAUCAAUUAUACAUCUUUAGAUUUACUUCGUUUUUUAUUGGAGAAAAAAACGUAUUUACACUUCCCGAAUGUGUAAAGGAGAUAUAAAAGUGUCUUUACACCCCCGAAAAUACACCUCCUACUGUAGAAGCUCUUAGGUAUUUGAUAAUUUUUUGAUUUUGUGUUAUGUUGACAUUUGCAGUUCACACUCUCGGGCCUACUAAACUUCAUGGAUGGUCUGUGGUCAAGUUGCGGUGAUGAAAGAAUUAUUGUGUUCACAACAAACCACAAGGAUGACGAUGAUGAUGCUGCUCUUGUAAGAGUUGUCAAGGUCACCCCUGCUGAGAUUUGUGAGGAAGUACUGAAGAAAAAUGACGAGGACGAGGACGACGAUGAUGAUGCUGCUCUCGAAAGAGUUGUCGACCUUCUCAAACUUGAGAAGCUUGAAGGGACUAAUAAUAUUGAAAAGACAGAAAUGCAAGCAGAAAAAAGGCAGGAAAAUGGAUCUCAGGUGAAUGAUGAAAGUGACAACUCAUGCAUCCAACAUGAGCUAUAGCGAUCCCCUUUUAGAUAAGUCUUUUUGUUAUUAGUACUUUUGUAGGAAAAGAAAUCUGGAUGUCAAGUACUCUAAUCCCAGUUUUGUUUGGUGUCCUGUCAGGUGUUGUCCUAUUAUCCUAUCUGAUUAUGAUGUAAUCACUUUGGUUAUAUCGAUAAAUAAAGUAAGUAAUGGUAUGGUUAGUUCAAAUUCUAUUCAAACUCUAAUAUUAUUUUCUUUCACGAAUGUGCGCUAGCAACAUAUAUACAUAAGGUGGUGUGGUGUUUUUGUUGUUAAGAGGUAGAAAGAAAAUUUACUCGCACACACACAAGUGCCUAGAAAUUUCGAAUAUGAGAUGAUUGGUCUUAAGUCAAACAUACUUUUUCACUACGGUAUGAUCCUAUUAGCUUCAUACUCUCUUGUUUCACUCUAGAGUGCAAGUGGCUACUUUUGAAAUGAAAUAAUUAACAACAGUUACUUUCUUAAUUAUAUCAUAGUUUACUUACCAAAGUGGAGAAGAUUUAUAUUUUUUGUUGUACUUCUUCAUAGGUUUUGAAUUUUGAUGCAACCAGAAGCUUUUUGUGUGUGUUGUUGCAUGUGAAUGGCGGGAAAAGAAUGGCAACUGUGUGAAAUUGAUCAAGUUAAGAUCAAUCCGGUAUGAUUGAAAACAUCAAAGCCAUCAAAUUAGUCAUGGUCUGCUCUAGGUUUCUUUAUUCAUUUUGGCCUCAAAUAUUAAAUACAUGUGUUUAAAAAGCAAUAACAAUCUAAUCAAAUAACUCACCCAACCCAACUCCUACGUUCAACGUAUAGUCCUAACACAAUCAAAUGUUUUAUUGAAUAUUUAUCCAGAGACUUACCUAUAAACUAGGUCACCUAGCACACUAAAAAAAAAAACCACGUACAGUAAAAAAAAGAUAUCUAGCAUAAGGAGAAAUUCGACCAAAACAAAAAAAAAUAGCAUAAGGAGAAAAAAGAGGGACUAUUGUCAACUAAACGACAAUAACCUACACAAAACACAAUGCACGCGGUUUUGACUGGUGGUGUACAAGUAGACUUCUUUGUCGAUCUUGCCAUGUGCAAUUGUCUGUGGCUGUGGUUUCACUAGUACUGUAUAUGAAUUUACCCCCCAAGUAACAAACCUCAAAUAUAUAUCCCCAAAUUUGAUUAAAAAAUCCCCCAACAAGAACAUCUCCUUCUUCUUCUUCUUCUUCUUCUUCUUCUUCUCAACCUCUGCCUUGCUUACCUUGCAUCCAUCCAUCCGCCAUGAAUUUCAUCGUGGAGGAACUCAUGCUUUUCAUUUCCACUGCCCUCAAUUACCUUGCUACCCUUUUCUCCCCUGGCCAUUAUCAUCAUGACCUCACUUUCAUCAUCCGCCAGAAGAGCACGCCACCCAACCAAGUCUACGACGCCGCCGAGCUCUACCUCCCAUCCAUCGAGUUGAUCAAUCCCUCCACUCGUACUAUCGGCGUCAGCAAAACACCGCGGCAAGAAGCCGUCAAGCUUGCCAUGGAAAGCGGUGAGCAGAUCGCCGACACCUUUGAGGACAUUAACCUCAACUGGCUCUACGUGGUCCAAACAUUCCCGAGCGGCCAGGUAACACGUCGCUUCGAGCUAACCUUCCACAAGAAACACAAAGACAAAGUCCUGACCUCCUACUUGCGCCAUGUGGUUACUCGGGCUGAAGCCAUUAAAAAAGAGGAAAAGAUUCUCAAACUUCGUAGCGUUAACUCACCAUCACGAGUGGAUCUGGAGCACCCAGCCACGUUCGAGACGAUCGCCAUGGGGCCCGACCAGAAGACAAAGAUUAUAAAGGACUUGGACAGGUUUGUGAGGAGGAGGGAGUUUUAUAAGAAGGUGGGCAAGGCUUGGAAAAGAGGCUACUUAUUGUAUGGCCCUCCUGGGACUGGCAAAUCCAGCUUGAUUGCAGCCAUGGCUAAUCAUCUCAAGUUUGACGUGUAUGAAUUGGAGCUUGAUGGUAUUUACAGUGACUCUCAAUUGAAGAGCGUGUUACUGUCCACUGCAAAUCGUUCUAUUUUGGUCAUUGAGGAUAUUGAUUUCAGCGCCGUUAAUGCGCGAAAACGAAAGUGCGGGGUUAGUACCUACCUAUACCUACCUAAAUUUUUCUGUGAAUUAGGUGUUCGAUAAUUUUUGGUUUAUUUUUUGGUGUAACAUAGUAAAAAUUUAAUUACUAUGCUGAUAUUUGCAGAUCACGGUCUCAGGCCUGCUAAACUUCAUGGAUGGUCUGUGGUCGAGCUGCGGUGACGAGAGAAUUAUUGUGUUCACAACAAACCACAAGGAUCGGCUUGAGCCUGCAUUACUGCGUCCUGGUCGAAUGGACGUCCACAUUCACAUGUCCUAUUGCACUCCGCAUGCGUUUAAGGUUUUGGCCUCCAACUACCUUGGUGUUCAGGACUUGGACCGUCAUCCUCUUUAUGGAGAAAUCGCGGGGUUGCUAGAGAGCACAGAGGUCGCCCCUGCUGAGGUUUGUGAGGAGCUAUUGAAGAGAGAUGAUGAUGUUGACGAUGAUGAUGUUGAUGCUGCUCUCGAAGGAGUUGUCAAAUUUCUCAAACUCAAGAAGCUUGAAGGGGAUAAUAAUAAUAUUGAUGAACCAGAAUUUCAAGAAGGAAAAAGGCAGGAUGUGGAU
rnacentral:lncRNA from 1 species